AUACCUUUCUCGGCUUUUUUUAUUAAGAUCAAGUGUAGUAUUUGUUUUUAUCAGUUUAAUAUUUGAUAUGUGAGCCAUUUGCUCAUUUUGAUAUUAAAUUUAUUUUUUUGGGGGAGGGCUCACCACAGUAGCUUCGAGCGUCUCCGGGGCGUUGCACUGCUGCCCGUGCCCGGGCCUGGCGCGCCCCAA